rnacentral:rRNA from 1 species
CGCACGGGUGAGUAACGCGUAUGCAAUCUACCUUAUACUGAGGGAUAGCCCGGGGAAACCAGGAAUAAUACCGCAUACGCCCCACGGGGGAAAGAGGGCCUCUUCUUGAAAGCUCUCACUAUUGGAGGAGCCUGCGUUGGAUUAGCUAGUUGGUGGGGUAAAGGCCUACCAAGGCGACGAUCCAUAGCUGGUCUGAGAGGACGAUCAGCCACACUGGAACUGAGACACGGUCCAGACUCC